rnacentral:rRNA from 1 species
CCUCGGGUGGCAGCAGUGAGGAAUUUUGCGCAAUGGGAGCAAUCCUGACGCAGCAACGCCGCGUGGGUGAAGAAGGCCUUCGGGUCGUAAAGCCCUGUCAGGUGGGAAGAAAGGUUCCGCCAAGAAACGGGUGGGAUUUGACGGUACCACCAGAGGAAGCACCGGCUAACUCCGUGCCAGCAGCCGCGGUAAUACGGAGGGUGCGAGCGUUAUUCGGAAUUACUGGGCGUAAAGCGCGUGCAGGCGGGGAGGCAAGUCUGAUGUGAAAUCCCUGGGCUUAACCCGGGAAGUGCAUUGGAAACUGGCUUUCUUGAGUAAUGGAGAGGAAGGGGGAAGUCCCGGUGUAGAGGUGAAAUGCGUAGAGAUCGGGAGGAAUACCAGUGGCGAAGGCGCCCUUCUGGACGGUUACUGACGCUGAGACGCGAAAGCGUGGGGAGCAAACA